rnacentral:lncRNA from 1 species
GGCAUACCAGUUGAGGGUGCAGAGGUGCACACAAGGGAGUUAUGAAAUUGUUUGUGGGAUUUGAGGCAGCGUGGUCUCGUGAUUCAGGGUCACUUACGUGAGUGCGGAUUGAGUUCGCUAUGUGUUGAAUGGAACCAUUAGUCCAAGGCAAUUGAGGUUAAGUUAGAAGAAGUAGAUUGGUUAGCCAUGAUUGAAUUGGUAUGAUGAUGACUAUGACUAGUACCCUUAGUGUUAUCAAGUCAUGCAAGUGAUUUGUGACGGUGCAUGUGAGGAUUGUCAGCCGUCAUAAUUGAUGUUAUUCAAAAGCAUUCUAAAGUUAUGGCUUGUUAUGUGGCCUCGCUACUUAGAGAUUUGCAUAUUUUACAGUUAUAAGAAUUCACCUGUGUAUUGCUAGGGUCAUCCGGAAGUGAGUUAAGUGAAAAUUUUAUAUGAUGAAGUGUUAAUCAAAUGGUGGUUCCGUAGCCGUGAUGAAAAAUGUGUUCUAUCAUAUAUUGGCAAGUUGGGUGCAUCAAGUGGUAUGAAAUUUGAAGUGAACAUCAAGGUUGCAGUUCGGUAUUCGGAUGAGUAGGAAAUGAGUUUCGAUGUUUAAUGUAAGUUGGUUUUGUCAUCUGCAUCACCUGAGAUCGGUGUUUUGUGGAAAAGUCUUUGCAUCCUGGUUAAUGAUUCUUGGUCGCUUUUCAGCGUUAGUGCAGCCGGUGGUUUGGCGGUAUGACCUAGUUAUUACUUAUGGUAGGUUGUGGGAGCGUGUCCUACGGGAAGAUUGUAUAAGUGUGGCAUGUAGUCACUUGAUUGAUUAAAG